rnacentral:lncRNA from 1 species
UGUAACAAAGUUGCACAUGUACCCCUGAACUUAACGCUAAAAAAAUGUGAGGGAGAAUAAAUUGUUCUGUCUCAAAAAAAUAUUUUUCAGAAAAUGUUUGAAUGUGAAUGGGAGAGGAGAGUAGAAAUGGGAAGGAACAAGAAGAUUCCAGGGGAGUAACCUAACAAACAUUCUCAAUCCACAAAUGACUGCAAAGCAGAUAACCAGAGUCCUGAUGAUUAACUGCUGUCAGUGGAACUGCCUGUUUUUUCUCAAGUGGAUCUUUCCUUCUAUGCAAAAGCAGUUGAAGUGGGUGUCUGUACGCUGCGUCCUAGCCCUGUGCCGAUUUCCUGCCGUUUCCUAUUGAGGUCAGUGGGCCUUUGUCGGGGAGUGGAGAUGUCUUACGGACUUUGAGCUCCAAGGCCUGCAGGGGCUUCUUGGGCAGUUAUCACCAGUGUUUUCCUGUCAUCUGAUGGUUCCUGGGGUCAUGGUUGCAUGGAGACCUGGGAAAACAGACCGUUGACCACAAGAGGCCCGAGGCCUCUGACCGCUGACCAGGAGCCUGAAUUUCUUCCAGCCAAAUGGACCCUGGUAACCUGAAUAAUCUGGGAGAUGAGUUGGAUAUUAGAGGGGCCUCCCACGCAGGUUGAGUCAUGGAGCAGCCAGAAUGUCCUCCUGUGUGAGGGCUAUUGUGACCUGGGGUCAGGAUUGUUCUGACUUCAGUUUCCUUUACUUUCAUAAUCAUUUCCUGGCAGUCCUCUCCCUGACAUGAGAAAUACCGGCCUCUGUUUAUGGAACUUGUGGG